CAUGGAAGUUCUUCAUAAAAAAUAUGAAAUCUGGCUUCAAAUUAGCCAGCUUAAACAUCUUCAAAGAGCACUAUCAAAACAAGUGGCUUAUUUUUAAAUGUCUAAAACAAAGAGGAGCUUUUUUGUAACUAUACCAUUUGU